UUGUACCUCCCUCGAACCAACAUCCCAGUCGCCUUCAUAGCUCAGUGCCCAAAGAGCAGGGUUGUUUUGUUUUGUUUUCCUAUUUGGUGAACUUCUGUAUCCCAAGUUCCUAAAAUAGAGCCUGGCACUUAAUGGGUGUUCAGUAUUUAUUUAACUACCUCUUUGUCUACACUUCAAGUCAGGAUUCAGCCAAUGGGCCUCCCUAGAGCAGGACCGAAGUUUUCUCUACCUGGGAGCUGGACCAGUCACUUCUACGAAACAGAUUGAGGAAUGUGCAGAGGGAAGAGAAGGGAGCCUGUUACUUCCCACAGCUUGGGUACCUCUGUUUUCCAGGUUGCUGAGGGCCCACUGGUUUACAGCUGAGCCCUGUGUGUGUAUAUGCUUCGGUUGCCUAGUGACAUUGGCUGGUGCUCCCAUUUAUGAGCUGGAAAGCUGUUUGAAAGCCCACGAGCAGAGCUUGUUGAUUGUCGAGCUUCACUACUGGAUGGCAAAGUGAACAGCUUUUGCUGUUAGGCUGGUCAGCUUUCCUAUAAAGAAAUCCUCCAGUCUCUUUCCUGGGAGUCAUUCUCCUGGUGGCGUGUGGUUCUUAUUGGCAGCCGUUCAGGUCUCACUAUGCAAUAUGAAAGUUCUAUUUAGUAUUCUUGUAAAAUAAAGUAUUUUUCCCUAUGCUGAACGA